CUCAUCCAGCCUCAUAAAGCUAUGAGGAUGGCUAUAACAUGACAUCACGGAAGCAAAGGCUUUCACUUUCUAGAGUGAAAAGAGAAAGGGAACAUGGACAUGCUCCUUGAAUGGUUUAUCACCCUGCCCCCCACUGAUGCCUGUGUGACCCAAGCUUUCCUCCUUCCUUGCUAGUCACUUGCCCCAAGACUUCUACACAUCAACUCCCCACUCUGGAGUCUCCUCUGUUGUCAUAAACCAUUGGGUUGUCCAGAAUCUUGGCU
rnacentral:lncRNA from 1 species